GUGAGUAAGAAGACAGCCUACAUCACAUCAGGGGUUUGGUGGGAAAGGAGACUGCGAGACAGUUUGCGUUCUCUCGUGGUAGAAUGACACAGUUUGGUAACCGGUUGACUGAAGAGGGUUGAAUGAGGACGAGGGGGUGGUGGUUGAAAGAUGGUUAAAUAUGAUCCUGAGUUUACAUGCCUGUGCUAGGAACACAGAAAAAAAGAACACAGGAAAUGCAUGGGGGAUGAGAGAAGAUGCCUUCCCACUGUCCCAAACACAGUCUGUUGCAGCCUUCUUUGGAUUCUUUAAUGUAUAGCUGUCUCUCAAGGCAUCUGAACUCUAUCCCUGUUCUUCAGACUUCCCCUUUGCCCCAUCUCCAGCUGGCUAAAUCUUCAUUUUCUCCAAGAGCCUCGUUUGAUUCCCAUAAUCUGGGUCAGAACCCUUUUCUAGAUUCUUGCCUUUCUUUUCCAUAUGUCUCACUGGAAAGUGACUGCUGUCCCAGAAAGCCUGUCAUUUCCCCGAGGGCAGGACCCAUGUCUGCCUUAUUUCCUGCUCUAGUUGCAGAACUGAGGACAUUGCCUAGCACACAGUAGGCACUCACAUUGGGCUUGGAGCAUCCACAGCUGUACCUGGAAAUAAGAGUUCACCGAUAGUUCAGAUCCAGACCCACGAGGAGAGAACAGCAUUCUGGGAUAUGUAGUUUCCAGACUGGCUGAGUAGCAACACUCUUAUGAGCCAAAGGAAUGGGAGUCACAAGGCACAGGAGAAGCAAGCUUUAAUAUCCUGGAGCCAGGCAGGAAAGCUGGAGCCUUGGGCUCACGCUGGGGUCUUUGCUGUACCGGGAGCAUCACUAUGUUGCAGGUUGUCAUCACUUAUGGAGGGACUACUCUGACAGAAACCCAGAAGGACAAAGAAGCCCACUAUUUUGCAGGAGGCAGCUGAGGACAACCUGAGGCCUCCUGUGUUGGAUGAAGAGGGCUAAUUCUUCUGGCUUAAAGACAUAGUGCAAUAGGGACAGCUAUUCAGUGACAAGUUUCAUGAGAUCCUUUCUGCACUGUUCUCCCUGUCUGGAAAAGCCACCAGCUGGUAAUGCUAUAGUCAAGCAGUCAUUCUACAUAGCCACACCUAGUGAUGUGAUCAUUGGUAGCCUCACCUGGUUUGAAUUUCCAAAACACACUUCUGGAAAAGUAAGGGGUCUGAGUUACAGAUCCAGGGUGUAGGAAAAAUCCCCCUGAAAACUGUAUCUUAGACCCCGGUGGCCAGAGAUGCAGGCGUAGUAGAAAAGCAUGAUUUGGUCUUUUCAUGGGAGCCCAGCCCAGACCCAGACGAAGCUCCUGUUCUAAGGGCCAUGAUUGAAAUUCCUCGUGGAAAGUCUGUCUUUGAGACACCAAGACACCUCAUUUAAUUCCCAUUUCCUUUUUAAGUCAGGUCCCUCCUUCCUGAGAACCACAUUUAAAGUUGCUAGCUGGCUUUCCUUCUGUUUUUGCUAUUUGUGUGCCAACUUCAAGGGUGGGGAGAGCCACGUUAAUUUAAAAAUAUAGCACAAAUAGCAAAACGAGGCUUGAUUUAAGGUAAAAACCACAGAAAGGGUUUUCCCCUUCCCUUCUGUGUUUUUCAGACUUUCCUAGAUCCACUAUUAAUUCUUCAGAGCCCAGACAUAGAAAGUGAUUGAGGCACACUGGAUGCUCUUCCAGACUAAAACAAAAAGCCUCCAGUGGACUCUCUCAUUGCCCCUUCAGACUUUAUUUUAAAGAGGGCUUAAGAAAGCUGGCCAAACUCCAUUCAUGGUAGGAUCUUGCUAAGCACCCUAGAUUUGGUGUUAUAAACUACCCUUUUGGAUCAGUUGUCCACUUGGGCAUCUUGGUUUUGGGAAUGUGGCUUUAAGAGUAGAGUUCCUAGAUCAAAUCCUGGCCUCAUUAUUUAUUAGUUUUCUGACUUUACAUCAAUGGGAAUCAUGAUUCACAAUGUUCAGUCCAUAGUGAGUCAAGGUCUAAAAAGAGCCUGGAGCAAAAGGAGCGACCAAUAGGCGGUGGCUAUUAUGAAAAUAGACCGUUUCAUCUGUCGGCUCCCUCUUUAGUCUCCAUUUCCGGUUUUGGAAAGGAAAGAAAAUUCGUUAUCUAUUUCAAGUGGAGGAUCUACCUCCAUUUUAAAUCACUCAGGGACUCACCAGAAGGGGAGGCCAGACCGCACUGAAUUUGCAAUACCCAGGCCUUUAAACCGAAUGGAAGCCCCAUUCUUGCCACUUAACAGAACACGGGCGAGCAGAUUGGGACUUGGGAAGCCUCGAAGGGAUAGCAAUUGCUCAGUCUAAAGACACAGGUCUAAGAUACGUGGGUGGGGGAAUUCACCUGAAGAAGGAAAGCCUCUGCAAGUGUUUGUAGGCAGAGCUGACAGUAGUGAAACUCCAUGCGCGUGCGGCAGCGCCCUCUGCCGGCCUCGGGGAGGGCAAAUCUGGAGCCUGGCCCCACGGCUGGUCAAAUGGGACUCCGGAUCCUUUCUGCUGCCUCCGCCCCCGCUCCGUCCCUUCCCGUGAUCGCGCAGCCUGGUCUGGGACUGGAUUCCAGGAGAGGCGUCCCCAUCCUACGCCUGAAGGCAGAGCAAGGACGCUGCUCUAAAACACCCGGUUCAUCAGCAGAGCGGAGGCUGCAGGAACCUACCCAAACCCACCUGGGGCUGCUUUUGCCUCCCGGAAACCCGGGCAGAAGCCUGCGGGGCGGUCGGAGGUGGUUUGGAAGUGGCAUCGCCUAUGGCCAAGACCGAGGGUUCUGCGGACAGAGAGGAGCCCUGGGUUCGCUUUCUGCCUCAUCCAGCUAGGUGACCUUGGGCAAGGUAAAUCAAAGCAUGUGAACUGUACAUUGAAGCCCAGCCUUUAAGAGGAAACAUAAAGGCCAGUCCUACAUCUUUGGCCAGAAGUCAGAGAGCAGAAAGGAGGCCUGUCAGCAACGCCGGAGUCAGUUUCAGGCAGCUGUAGCUUGGACAAAGCAAAAUUCUUACAUCUGUUUCCCACAUCUGCAUUAAUGGCAUGACCUUUGAUCUAUUUAUAAAUGAAGAAAAUAUCUCUUGCUUUUUAUGGAGCAAGGAUUUUAUGGUUAAAAUUCAUUAAUUACUCAUUGAAAAGUCUUUGGGAUCCUUGACAUGAAAGGCAUUUAUUUAAACAGAGCUUCUCAAAGGUAAAUGGCCUUGCAGUAACAUCCGUCCCCACAGAUGUAGCAUGUGUGCUUUUUUUUUUUUGCCUAGAAUAGUGGAUCUAGCCUCCUACAACAUAACACCACCAGUUGUAAGCCACCUCCAGACCAGAAUAUCAGCAAAAAACCCACA
rnacentral:lncRNA from 1 species